UGCCUGUAAGACGGGGAUAACUCCGGGAAACCGGGGCUAAUACCGGAUAAUAAGAGAAGAAGCAUUUCUUCUUUUUGAAAGUCGGUUUCGGCUGACACUUACAGAUGAGCCCGCGGCGCAUUAGCUAGUUGGUGAGGUAACGGCUCACCAAGGCGACGAUGCGUAGCCGACCUGAGAGGGUGAUCGGCCACACUGGGACUGAGACACGGCCCAGACUCCUACGGGAGGCAGCAGUGGUCAUAGCUU
rnacentral:rRNA from 1 species